AAUGUGUUUUAUUCUUAAUAACAUUAAUUCCAUGUUUUUUUUCCAAAAAAAAAAAAUUAGUUUGAAAAAUAUAUGCAAAUUUUCUAAUUUUUGGCUACUGUCCUGAAGCUAAUGGAUGAAAGUAUCCUCAAGUGCCUGAAAAUAGAAGAAAAAACAAAAAUCAUAAUUAACUAAGAUUUUCUGUUUUCAUUUAAGGCUACACUUUUCAUCAACAUUGACGAAUUUUGUCAAGGCUACUGACCUGAAACUAAUCUUUCCGGGAUCAGCGUUUUUGUGUUUUCAUUUAAGCCUACACUUUUCAUCAACAUUGACGAAUUUUGUCAAGGCUACUGACCUGAAGCUAAUGGAGGAAUUGGACCAAAUCUCUCCUAGAUCAGCGUUUUUCUGUUUUCGUUUAAGGGUACUCUAUGGACAAAAAUUUACAAAUUUUGUCAAGGCUACUUACUGACCUGA